rnacentral:misc_RNA from 1 species
GAAAUGCGAUAAGUAAUGUGAAUUGCAGAAUUCCGUGAAUCAUCGAAUCUUUGAACGCACAUUGCGCCCUCUGGUAUUCCGGGGGGCAUGCCUGUCCGAGCGUCAUUGCACACCCUCAAGCGCGGCUUGUGUGUUGGGCCCCCGCGUCCUUGCCUCUUAAAGGACGGGCCCAAAAGGCAGUGGCGGCACCAUGUCUGGUCCUCGAGCCUAUGGGGCUUUGUCACCCGCUCCCGUAGGUCCAGCUGGCAGCUAGCCUCGCAACCAAUCUUUUUAACCAGGUUGACCUCGGAUCAGGUAGGGAUACCCGCUGAACUUAAGC